rnacentral:lncRNA from 1 species
UUCUUGAUUACAUUUUCAGUAUGAAGGGAGACUGGGAGCUGAGAUCAAAAGUUCCAAAAGUAUCCAAAUCUCAUGAUUAGAGAUCUAAAGGAUUCCUAAAGUCACUUAAGCCCUCCUCCCAGAUGCCAUCCGCUGGGCCCAGGCCAUGAAUCUUCUCAGAAUGUUAUCCUAAAGGCCUCCUGUGAGAAUGGGGAAAAAAAAGAGCAUGAGUUGUUCCUCAUCCUCAAGAAGAGCUCCCACUAUCACACAGCCUGCUGGCCGCGUGCUGUUCUGCAUGGGGCACUCUGCCAGGUACCUUUACCUACAUUCUUCCUUUUUCAUAUUCCUUAUUGGAGAACAUCACAGUAUUGGUGAUUUUGAAGAUAUUAUAAGGUAACUAUCUGUAUGUCUGUCUCUCUCAGAGAGAGAGGCAGUGUGAGCUCCUAGAAAUCAGGAGCAACAUUUUUUUUUAACUGCUCUUCCCCACAGGGUGCCUAACUUAGAAUCUUGCUUAAAU